rnacentral:rRNA from 1 species
GACGAACGCUGGCGGCGUGCCUAACACAUGCAAGUCGAACGGGGCGAGAGAGCUUCGGUUUUCUGCUUAGUGGCGAACGGGUGAGUAACGCGUGAAGAACCUGCCUUUCAGUGGGGGACGAACAGUUGGAAACGGACUGCUAUACCGCAUGACACUGAUGAGGGGCAUCCCUUAUCAGUCAAAGCUUUAAGUGCUGAAAGAUGGCUUCGCGUCUGAUUAGCUAGAUGGUGGGGUAACGG